GAAAUAUAUAUAGCUUUUUAAAAUUUGUCAAAAUUAUUUUGUGGCAAAUCAGAAAUCUACUUCAUUAAUGGUAAACACUUGACUUUGAAUUUACUUUAUGGAAAAAAAUUGAGUUAAGUUUUUUUUGUUCGUUCAUUAUUGAGUCAGAGUAAGACUCAAGUGUAUGAGUCAAAUGUGUGUCGCUCUUGCUGUCUUAGCACUUGCUAUGUAGACCAGCCCUGCCUCUGCCUCCCGAAUGCUGGGAUUAAAGGCACAUGCUAAUACACCAGGCUCUUUUAGCCUUAUUUUAAUCAACUUUAGAGCAAGAUAUUCUUUAAUUAAUGAAAAGUUAAGACACUUUCAUAAAGGGAAGUCUUUUAUAGCAUUUUUUUCCUCAAAAAAAAAAAAAAUCAAUGUUACAUGAAGAUUUGAAUUCUCAGAUAAUAUGUAGACACGUUUUUUUAGUCACUGACUUGUGGGCCAGUGAGAUGGCUCAGUAGGUAAAGGUGCUUGCUGCCAAGCCCGAGUUCAAUUCCCUAUGGUGGAAGGAGAGAACUGAGUCUCACAAGUUGUCCUCUAUCUCCAUGUGUGCAUCAUGUACACUCAUGCUCCAUAUUAAAUAGAUAAGUAAAUAUACCAAACUUAAUCAACGUUUAACAUCUCCAUUCAGAGGCAGAGAGCAGAAGGAUUGUGAGUUGGGAGGCCGGCUUGAGCUACUGAAUGAGGUCCAGGCCAUCUUGGGCUACAUAAAAGAUCAUGUCUGAAAAAUCCAAAAAAAAGUAACUAAAUUAGUGACGAAAUCUCCGUUGUUUAGGAUUCCUCUGUGAAAGACUGGACUUAUGAUUAUGAGAAGCUGUCUUUUGCUUGAAUUCUCAUGGGAUUUAACUCUUUCCAAGAAAUGCAAAACCCAUCAGAAAGUUGAAUGUGUGUGCAUUUCAGAUACAAUUCUGGAUUGUCUGGGCUGAAGGUAUUCCAGUUAUGGCCUGGUAAACAGGAGUAUUCUGCACGUAAAUCAUGCUGUAUAUUCAGAUGGAACAUCACUUAAGUAUUAAUGUUGUAUGUACAGAUUGAGAUUUUUUUUUGCCUAAAUAAAUGUUACAAAUUUUAUGUAAAGUGUGGUCUACUUUCACGUCAGAUACUUUGAAAUUUAGUUUUAAGUCAAGCUCCAUAUUCCUUAGUAAAUCCAUUGUACUUUCAGAAAUCUACAAAAGUCUGUCUACUAGAGCAUCAUUCCUGUUAUGCUAGAACCAGGCUUGCCAGUCAGUACACACUGUAACUCCAGUACUGAAACAAGAGGCUCAAAUCCAAAGCCGGCCUGUGUGAUGUAGUGGUACCUCUUUCCAUCUCAAAAAAAAAAAAAAAAGUCUACAUUCAUCACCCAAUGGUAGAAGGAUUAUCAGACAUGCUCUAAGACCUUUUAGGGAAUUUAAUUUUAAUGGAGAGAAAUAAAUAAUAGUAUUCAACAAUGUUCCACAAUAGUCCACAGUGCUUAUUACAGGGAUCAAAGACCACACAAGUCCAGUUAGUCCAAAAAGAAUUCCUGCUGGAUGAUGGUACACACCUUUAAUCCCAGCACUUCAGAGGCAGAGGCAGGCAAACCUCUAAGUUCGAGACCAGCCUCUUCUACAAAUCAGGUUCAGAGACAACCAGGGCUAGCUAUUGAAACCCUACUUUGAAAGAACUUUAAGCCGGGCGUGGUGGCGCACGCCUUUAAUCCCAGCACUCGGGAGGCAGAGGCAGGCGGAUUUCUGGGUUCGAGGCCAGCCUGGUCUACAGAGUGAGUUCCAGGACAGCCAGAGCUACACAGAGAAACCCUGUCUUGAAAAAAAAAGUUUUAAUAUGCAUCCUGGGCCUUUCUACAUGUGUGUGGAAGGGAAUGCUUUAUUCAGUCUGAUGCAUCCACUACUUCAGGCUAUCGGCUCUGAGGGUGUACAGAGAGCCAGAGGAGAGAAGACACUGGGGGCCUGGAGCUGGGUACCAGGGCUACUACUGCCUUCCACUGUGAGACCAAGCAGUUUGAGAAUUCAAAGUUCUUAGCUGACUGUCCUGCUCAUUAUGGGCCAACAUUUGUGACAACUGUAGGAAAGAACACAACAGUUUCUUAGCUUCAUGUUCAGCUUUGCUGUAGACCCCAUAAAUGUUGGAGGGGAGCUAUUUUGAUUUAUCCAGGCAUAAAGCUUUCUUUUGUACACACAGCUCAUAUGCUCAUUAAAAUCGAGACUUGAAAAAGAAUUGUCACUAAAUC
rnacentral:lncRNA from 1 species